GAUCAACGCUGGCGGCGUGCCUAACACAUGCAAGUCGAACGGGACCAGGGGCAACUCUGGUUCAGCGGCGGACGGGUGCGUAACACGUGAGGAACAUGACCUUCGGUGGGGGAUAGCCGGCCCAACGGCCGGGUAAUACCGCCUACGACCUUUCGGGGACAUCCCUGGAUGGUGAAAGCAGCAAUGAGCCGAUGGAGUGCCUCGCGGCCUAUCAGCUAGUUGGUGGGGUAACGGCUCACCAAGGCGACGACGGGUAGCUGGUCUGAGAGGAUGGCCAGCCACAUUGGGACUGAGACACGGCCCAGACUCCUACGGGAGGCAGCAGUGGGGAAUAUUGCGCAAUGGACGAAAGUCUGACGCAGCGACGCCGCGUGUGGGAUGACGGUCUUCGGAUUGUAAACCACUGUCGGGAGGGACGAAUACGCCGCAAGGCGGGUGACGGUACCUCCAAAGGAAGCACCGGCUAACUCCGUGCCAGCAGCCGCCGUAACAC
rnacentral:rRNA from 1 species